AUGGAUAUUUCUUCGGUGUUCGAGGCAUCAACAAAUCUUUUGUUUCCAAAACCUUUUUCUCUUCCAAUUUCUCCACAAAUCAUGGAGGUUAUAAAACAGAAUCUUCAAUUCUUUCUCCAAUCGUUUUCCACUCCACGAGACUCUCACAGGUUGACCGUAGACCCGGUGAUGUUGAAAUUGUUUAUGAAUCUGCAGAAAAAGUUGAAAGAGAACUUAAGAGGAAGUAACUUCAUUUUUUCAAUAAGGUACUACGAUAAGGCAAGUAUCAUGAAAUGGUGA
rnacentral:lncRNA from 1 species